UACGUAGGGUCCAAGCGUUAUCCGGAAUCACUGGGCGUAAAGCGUGCGUAGGCGGCGUGUUAAGUGUGAUGUUAAAUCGUGGGGCUCAACCCUGUCGGUGCAUCACAUACUGGCAUGCUAGAGGAAGGCAGAGGCAAGUGGAAUUUGUAGUGUAGCAGUGAAAUGCGUAGAUAUCGAGAGGAACACCUGCGGCGAAGGCGGGUUGCUGGGCUGACACUGACGCUGAUUGUGCGAAAGCUAGGGGAGCGAACGGG
rnacentral:rRNA from 1 species